rnacentral:rRNA from 1 species
AUUGAACGCUGGCGGCAUGCCUUACACAUGCAAGUCGAACGGCAGCACGGGAGCAAUCCUGGUGGCGAGUGGCGAACGGGUGAGUAAAGUAUCGGAACGUGCCCAGUCGUGGGGGAUAACGUAGCGAAAGUUACGCUAAUACCGCAUACGAUCUAUGGAUGAAAGCGGGGGAUCGCAAGACCUCGCGCGAUUGGAGCGGCCGAUAUCAGAUUAGGUAGUUGGUGGGGUAAAGGCUCACCAAGCCGACGAUCUGUAGCUGGUCUGAGAGGACGACCAGCCACACUGGGACUGAGACACGGCCCAGACUCCUACGGGAGGCAGCAGUGGGGAAUUUUGGACAAUGGGCGAAAGCCUGAUCCAGCCAUGCCGCGUGCAGGAUGAAGGCCUUCGGGUUGUAAACUGCUUUUGUACGGAACGAAAAGGUUUGGCCUAAUAAGCUGAGCUCAUGACGGUACCGUAAGAAUAAGCACCGGCUAACUACGUGCCAGCCGCCGCAGUAACAC